UGCAUCUGCCACCUAAAAUUACUGUAUGUAGCUCCCUGCGGGAGCCACAUACAGUAACUCCAAUGC
rnacentral:lncRNA from 1 species